UACGGGGGGAGCAAGCGUUGUUCGGAUUUACUGGGCGUAAAGGGCGCGUAGGCGGUCAGCACAAGUCAGUUGUGAAAUCUCCGGGCUUAACUCGGAACGGUCAACUGAUACUGCUCGGCUAGAGUGCGGAAGGGGCAACUGGAAUUCUUGGUGUAGCGGUGAAAUGCGUAGAUAUCAAGAGGAACACCUGCGGCGAAGGCGGGUUGCUGGGCCGACACUGACGCUGAGGCGCGAAAGCGUGGGGAGCAAACAGG
rnacentral:rRNA from 1 species